rnacentral:rRNA from 1 species
GAAUAGUGCAUCAUAGAGGGUGAUAAUCCCGUAGUCGACAAUCAAACCAGCCUAACUGAAUCCCGAGUAGGCCGGAGCACGUGGAAUUCCGGUUGAAUCAGCGAGGACCAUCUCGUAAGGCUAAAUACUCCUGUAUGACCGAUAGUGAACCAGUACCGCGAGGGAAAGGUGAAAAGAACCCCGGAAGGGGAGUGAAAUAGAACAUGAAACCGUUAGCUUACAAGCAGUGGGAGGACGAUUUAACGUCUGACCGCGUGCCUGUUGAAGCAUGAGCCGGCGAGUUAUAGGCAGUGGCAGGUUAAGACCCUAUGGGUUGAAGCCAAAGCGAAAGCGAGUUUGACAAGAGCGUCAGUGUGAAAGCACAAGUCACUGUUUAUAGACCCGAACCCGGGUGAUCUAACCAUGUCCAGGAUGAAGCUUGGGUAACACCAAGUGGAGGUCCGAACCGACUGAUGUUGAAAAAUCAGCGGAUGAGGUGUGGUUAGGGGUGAAAUGCCAAUCGAACCCGGAGCUAGCUGGUUCUCCCCGAAAUGUGUUGAGGCACAGCGGUCGAGAUUAAGUUUAGGGGUAAAGCACUGUUUCGGUGCGGGCUGCGAGAGCGGUACCAAAUCGAGGCAAACUCUGAAUACUAAACUGGUACUCGGCCAGUCAGACGGUGGGGGAUAAGCUUCAUCGUCAAGAGGGAAACAGCCCAGACCACCAGCUAAGGUCCCAAAAUGACUGCUAAGUGAUAAAGGAGGUGGGAUUGCAGUGACAACCAGGAGGUUUGCCUAGAAGCAGCCACCCUUGAAAGAGUGCGUAAUAGCUCACUGGUCUAGCGAUCCUGCGCCGAAAAUGAACGGGGCUAAGCAGUCUACCGAAGCUGUGGAAUAAAUGAUUUAGGUCAUGUAUUGGUAGGGGAGCGUUCCGCAACGGUGUGAAGCACUAGCGACAAGCAGGUGUGGACUGUGCGGAAGUGAGAAUGUCGGCUUGAGUAGCGCAAAUGUGGGUGAGAAUCCCACACCCCGAAACCCUAAGGGUUCCUCCGCCAGGCUCGUCCGCGGAGGGUGAGUCAGGUCCUAAGGCGAGGCAGAAGUGCGUAGUCGAUGGAUAACGGGUCAAUAUUCCCGUACCUGACAUUGUUGGUGCAGAGGGACGGAGAAGGCAAUCGCCAGCCGGAUGUUGGUUACCGGUUUAAGUAUUCGAGGUGUUGAGAGACGGAGAAAACGUCUUGAGCUGAGGUACGAGUACGACCUCCUACGGGAGGGAAGUGGUAGAUGUCAGGCUUCCAAGAAAAGCUCUAAACACGUUAACGAUAAAUUGCCCGUACCCGAAACCGACACAGGUGGACUGGUAGAGUAUACCAAGGCGCUUGAGAGAACUCGGGUGAAGGAACUCGGCAAAUUGACACCGUAACUUCGGGAUAAGGUGUGCCCUUAUUAGGUGAAGGCGUACAGCCGGAGCUGAGAAGGGUUGCAAAGAAUCGGUGGCUGCGACUGUUUAACAAAAACACAUGGCUUUGCUAAAUCGAAAGAUGACGUAUAAGGCCUGACACCUGCCCGGUGCUGGAAGGUUAAGAGGAGAUGUUAUCUUCGGAGAAGCAUUGAAUUGAAGCCCCAGUAAACGGCGGCCGUAACUAUAACGGUCCUAAGGUAGCGAAAUUCCUUGUCGGGUAAGUUCCGACCUGCACGAAUGGUGUAAUGAUCUGGGCACUGUCUCAGCCACGAGCUCGGUGAAAUUGAAGCAUCGGUGAAGAUACCGAUUACCCGCACUGGGACGGAAAGACCCCGUGAACCUUUACUAUAGCU